AUGAACGCUAGCUACAGGCUUAACACAUGCAAGUCGAGGGGCAGCAUGAUCGAAGCUUGCUUUGAUUGAUGGCGACCGGCGCACGGGUGAGUAACGCGUAUCCAACUCCCUGUAGUAGAGGAUAGCCCGGCGAAAGUCGGAUUAAUACUCUAUGUUGUAUUUCGAUGACAUCUGAAGAAUACCAAAGGUUUACCGCUAUAGGAUGGGGGAUGCGUCUGAUUAGGUGUUGGCGGGGUAACGGCCCACCAAGCCCACGAUCGAGUAGGGGUUCUGAGAGGAAGGUCCCCCACAUUGGAACUGAGACGCGGUCCAAACUCCUACGGGAGGCAGCAGUGAGGAAUAUUGGUCAAUGGACGUAAGUCUGAACCAGCCAAGUAGCGUGCAAGGAUGACGGCCCUAUGGGUUGUAAACUGCUUUUAUAUAGGGAUAAAGUGCACUACGUGUAGUGUUUUGUAGGUACUAUAUGAAUAAGGACCGGCUAAUUCCGUGCCAGCAGCAGC
rnacentral:rRNA from 1 species